GACGAACGCUGGCGGCAUGCCUAACACAUGCAAGUCGAGCGAGCAGAUCCCUUCGGGGUGAAGCUAGCGGCGGACGGGUGAGUAACACGUGGGCAACCUGCCUCAUAGAGGGGAAUAGCCUUCCGAAAGGAAGAUUAAUACCGCAUAAGAUUGUAGCUUCGCAUGAAGUAGCAAUUAAAGGAGCAAUCCACUAUGAGAUGGGCCCGCGGCGCAUUAGCUAGUUGGUGAGGUAACGGCUCACCAAGGCGACGAUGCGUAGCCGACCUGAGAGGGUGAUCGGCCACAUUGGGACUGAGACACGGCCCAAACUCCUACGGGAGGCAGCAGUGGGGAAUAUUGCACAAUGGGGGAAACCCUGAUGCAGCAAUGCCGCGUGAGUGAUGACGGCCUUCGGGUUGUAAAGCUCUGUCUUCGGGGACGAUAAUGACGGUACCCGAGGAGGAAGCCACAGCUAACUACGUGCCAGCCGCCGCAGUAA
rnacentral:rRNA from 1 species